rnacentral:rRNA from 1 species
GAUGAACGCUGGCGGCGUGCCUAAUACAUGCAAGUCGAGCGAACGGACGAGAAGCUUGCUUUUCUGAUGUUAGCGGCGGACGGGUGAGUAACACGUGGAUAACCUACCUAUAAGACUGGGAUAACUUCGGGAAACCGGAGCUAAUACCGGAUAAUAUUUUGAACCGCAUGGUUCAAAAGUGAAAGACGGUCUUGCUGUCACUUAUAGAUGGAUCCGCGCUGCAUUAGCUAGUUGGUAAGGUAACGGCUUACCAAGGCAACGAUGCAUAGCCGACCUGAGAGGGUGAUCGGCCACACUGGAACUGAGACACGGUCCAGACUCCUACGGGAGGCAGCAGUAGGGAAUCUUCCAAUGGGCGAAAGCCUGACGGAGCAACGCCGCGUGAGUGAUGAAGGUCUUCGGAUCGUAAAACUCUGUUAUUAGGGAAGAACAUAUGUGUAAGUAACUGUGCACAUCUUGACGGUACCUAAUCAGAAAGCCACGGCUAACUACGUG